AUGGAGGCCACCAACAGCUUCCAUCCUUGCAAGAUUAUUAAGGUUCACAAGAAUCCCAACAAAGGAGAUUUCACCACUAUCAAGAAUGCCAUUGCUUCCCUCCCUCUCUUCAAUCCAUGUCGGGUAGUUAUUUCCGUUGCUCCAGGGACCUAUAGGUAAAAUUACUCAAUUUCCCAUACAUAUAUAUAUAUACAUAUUCUUGAUAUUAAUUAAUAUACAGGGAGAAGAUAGAGAUUCCUAUCACAAUGGCUUACCUCACAUUGGAAGGAGCCGGCCGCGGCAAGACCACAAUCCGGUGGGACGACACGGCCGACCACCUCGGCCCCACUGGCCAGCCCCUCGGAACUUACGGCUCCGCCACCUUCGCCGUCAAUGCUCCUCAUUUCGUUGCAAAGAACAUCAC
rnacentral:lncRNA from 1 species